rnacentral:rRNA from 1 species
UACGUAGGGUGCGAGCGUUAAUCGGAAUUACUGGGCGUAAAGCGUGCGCAGGCGGUUUUGUAAGUCUGUCGUGAAAUCCCCGGGCUCAACCUGGGAAUGGCGAUGGAGACUGCAAGGCUGGAAUCUGGCAGAGGGGGGUAGAAUUCCACGUGUAGCAGUGAAAUGCGUAGAGAUGUGGAGGAACACCGAUGGCGAAGGCAGCCCCCUGGGCUAAGAUUGACGCUCAGGCACGAAAGCGUGGGGAGCAAACAGG